AGCUUUUGUUCAUUUGUUUCAGACUUUUUUCUCUUGUAAAAAAUAGUACUGAUUAACUUUUUUAAAAGAAAGAUUUUACUGUAAAUAUGAAUUUUUUUUUUUUUUUUUCUUCUCUCUUUUCGGUCUUGUUUUUUGUUUCUGUUGUUUUUUGGGAUUUUUUUUUUUUUGGUCUUAUUUCUGUCCCCCUCCCUGGUUUGUUAUCAUAACCUGUAGUGCCAACUCUGCUUCCGGAGGGGCAGUGCAGGAUGAAAUGCUGACCCUGAAGUUGCUUCUCAUUCAUAAAUAAGUAGAAAAUUGUUUCUCCAGUCUUUUGGGAACACAGGACUUAAAAGUCACAUCAUGUGUAGAUAUUACAAGCAGCAUUACCAAGACACGGCAACAAGAGUUUGUCUGACUUGUAAUGUUGCAUUUGUGACCCUAUUCUGGGAUUUUCAGAGGUACAAGGUUAGAAUGCUACAAUGUUACCACUGUGCCUUCCAAUGUUUAUAUCAUCGGAAACAUAACAUAAUCAAAGUGGCUGUGAUUUAACAAAACGAUUAAAGUGUUACCUACCUGUGUAGCCGAAGUAGUGUGCAGUGAGGCGUUUCUGAAUACAUGGUCAGAUUUUUGGAAAAAAACAAAAAACAAAAAACAAAUGAAGUUCAAAAACUGUCAAAUGAGAAAAUUGCAAGUAGUGUGACAGAGCUGAUUGAUUUUGUUGCUUUCUUAAUUUUUUUUUUUUCAAAAUGGGUUUACUAAAAAGUAGAUGACUUAACCUGCCUCCUCCUUCAUCUGAAAAAUGCCAAUAUUCAGUCAUCAUGCAGCAUUAUAACAAGCCUUAUAAGUCCUAAAGCAUUAAGUUGCACUUUUUUGAGGAGGGGUAGUGCAGUAUUUCUCUGGCCAGUAUGAAUGAAGUUGAUACUUACCAUAUUUGAUAGAAACAUAGAUCAAGCUAUGGCACAGCAACUCAUCAGAUAGCUAGCUUUGACGUCUGGGCACAAUUGAACCAGUUUCCAUCAUAAAUCUUUAUAAUGAUUGACUUUGGUGUAUAGUGCAGUAAACAAAUAGUGCUCCUAGUUAAGUAUUUGUCAGCAUCCUUUUGUCUCUAACUUGUUUCUAUUUUUACAGCCACACAAUCUUGGCAUGUAUUAAGAAAAAGCAAUCCCUAUUCAAGUAGUUUUUCCACCUAUCAGCACUGAGUAAAUGCCAUAAAUCCAUCAAAAUGGUCUAAAUGUUCCAUCUGUUCUCCUGUUUUGCCAGUUAUAUAGUAAUGAAAUACAUUUGUAAAUUUUAUGCAACAAAUGGCAAACGUAUCAUUAUUUUGAAAUUGUGUAUGUAAAAGUUAUAUUUUUACAUGUAGGCUCUUGUUAUUAUGUGUUUUAAUACAUUGUAUCAGUUUUCGUUUUUCUAAACUGUGUGGUUUAAAAGAAGUCUCAUUUAAAUGAAAUAGUGAGCUACAAGAAUCUGAAUUUUAUGUUCAUUUCUGAAAAUGUAAGAACAAAUAAGAUAGUUACCACGUGGUCAUCUUUUACAAACCCAUUAACAUUUUGAUUAGCUGUGUGUGUGUGUGUGUGUGUGUGUGUGUGUUGAAAACUGUAAAUAUGUUCAGUAGCGAUAAAACUAAAAUAAUUUGAUUUGUUAAUAAGUUCCUAAAAUGUGGAGGUGGAUUAAAACCUUAGGAGAAGAGCAGAAAUCAAACUUCAUGAAAAGUUAUUUGGGGGGUUUCCUGUGAAAUGUAUGAACAAAGGGGCUCAAAGAAGGGCAUGAAAGACAAUAAUGUAUACUCUCCCUCCUCCUCCCUGAAUAAUGGAAACCAUGUGUACUUCUUCCCUCAGUAUGUUAAAGAUUUCCUUUUAGUGGUACAUUCUGCACUCAUCUUGUAUUGUCUACCAAGGCGGGUAUCCCUAGGAACAAUAUUAUAUAGGAAGCAGGUAUACUCUGAUCACAUUCAGGAUAAGUGUACAGAAGAAAGUAUGGUGUUUACUCUUUAGGGAACUGGAAACACUCCCUGCAUUGAUGUACAUUUUAAGAAUGGCACUUUUGAUACAUGUUAUCAGAAAGGUGCUUAAUAGAGCUGAAUUAAAGUUUUCAAACCUGUAAACAAAGCAAAAAAUGAAAUUGUAGUCAUUUGAUUAUUUUUUAAAUUGGUGCUUUAUAUUUUGUUCUCACUCAAACAGAGUAAAAGCUGCAAUUUCUUGUUCACCAGCUUUGAUGUAUUCAUUACUCAGUAAUGUAAUACCUCUAUUGUUGAAAUCCCUUUGGACAUAAGCGAAAAACUUCCUAAUGGCCACCAGAAUCUGCUCACUGCUUUUUUGCUUGGUGGGGAAACAUAAUCUGCGCCUAUCUGUAUUAAUUGGGUUGUAUCCCCAGUUUAAAAAAGAGAAGAAGAAGAAGAAGAAGAAGAAGAAGAAAGGGAAUGUGGCCUUUUAGUGUGUUUUUUGUCGUUUUGUUAUUUUCAAACCCAGGUAAGAUAUUGGUAUCCUGCACUGGAUUUUUGAAUUAAAUUUAGCAGAAGACAGGAUUGAAGUGCUAUACAGAAGUUUCACAAGGGUCCAUGCUAUACUACAUAUAUAGAUGAUGAUACUUAGGCUGGGGAUCGGUAUAAGAAACUUGGACUUUGAAAGCAACAUGGAAUAGUUGAUCCACCUCCACAUUCAAGUAAUUUAUGAAUAUGCAGAAUAGGGAUCUGUUCAUCUAGAAAUUUUUACCAUUUGUCUUCUGUGUAGCUGCAAGGAACACUAAUGUUUAUACAACUGUCAGUCCACCCAGUGGUGCAACUGGUUCUGAUUCAGUCUUCCGAUUCCUUUUUUGUUCUUCACUUUUUCCUAUUCCUUGAAUUUUUUAAAUUCAUAAUCUUUAUUUUGUUGAGGGGUUGGGGAGUGGGGAGGGAGUUGAACUGAGACUGGGGGUUAAGAGGAUUUUCGUCUUUGCAUCCAACAGGUAGAAUAUGAUCUGUGUCCAAAAGUGAACUUGAGUCAGGAACGAAACCAUUUCAGCAUAAACGAGCACAAAAAUUUAGUCUGCUGGCUGACUGGAAGCAAAAAAGUCAAGAUGGAAUAUGAUGAAUUCCAACACAAUGGGGCACCAAGGCCUUUUGGGCCUGUCUUUUUAUUUUGCUUUGGUUUUGUUUGUUUUUCUUUAGAGACACGCUCUUUCUCAUGGGACUUGAAGUGGACUCAUCUUUGUGCAGUGCUGGUUUUGCCAUACUCAUUUCAAGUAUUAUAGACAUAUGUAAUGGUGAAAAUAUAUGAACUGUGGCCUUUUUCAUUCUUGUUACUUGUGAUGCAAUUAAGUGAAGAUAAGAAAAAAAAAAAAGCAGAGAUUUACCAUGUAUCAGUGCCUGGCUUUUUGUUAUAAAGCUUUGUUUGUCUAGUGCUCUUUUUGCUAUAAAAUAGACUGUAGUACACCCUAGUAGGAAAAAAAACCCUAAAUUUAAAAAUAAAAAAUAUAUUUGGCUUAUUUUUCGCAGGAGCAAUCCUUUUAUACCAUGAAUAUUACAAAAAAUUGUCAGAUUCUGAAUAUUUCUUCUUUGUAGAUUUUUGGAAUCAUUAUGAGUAAAAGUUUGUUACUUUAUUUUACUAUUUAAAAGAUGUUAUUUUACCAUGUGUUACCAAGAUGAAACUGUAUGGUAGCUUUUUUGUUUGUUUUGUUUUUGUUUUUGUUUUUUAGUUGUAGGUCGCAGCGGGGAAAUUUUUUGCGACUGUACACAUAGCUGCAGCAUUAAAAACUAAAAAAAAAUUGUUAAAAAAAGAAAAAAAGGGAAAACAUUUCAAAAAAAGAUAAACAGUUACACCUUGUUUUCAAUGUGUGGCUGAGUGCCUCGAUUUUUUCAUGUUUUUGGUGUAUUUCUGAUUUGUAGAAGUGUCCAAACAGGUUGUGUGCUGGAGUUCCUUCAAGACAAAAACAAACCCAGCUUGGUCUAGGCCAUUACCUGUUUCCAUCUGUAGUUAUUCGAUGAAGUCAUGUACAUGACCGUUCUGUAGCAAUAAAUGUGCCAUUUUUAUAAACUGUUUCUGACACUUGUUUCAUUUCAUUUUGCAUUGUCCAUAUAGCUAUGAUUCUCUUCUGUUAAGAUGGCAUUAUAGUUCAUUUUCUAAGUGUUGGAGGUAUUGGCAGCUUAACAGACAAAACAUACAAAAAUAAAAAAAAUUAAAUUACAAAAGCAAAUUGAAAAGCAAAGCACAUGGUUGAUCAAGGAAGAGAUGCCCUUAAUGAAAAUGGAACGGGAUGCAUGCAAAACAAAAGAGAAAACUGUCUAGAGGAUUAACUAAUUGAAGGAAUAUAAUUAAUAUGCAUGUAACACUGACGCUAUGCAUUUGAAGAGAUCUGAACUGCACCAAUGUCUUCAGUUGUGCUGCAGGUUGCUGAGUCAUGUCAGCCUUAACCUUUGGAUCAGUUAGUCGACUGUUUGGCAGAACAUUCUCAGCUAGAUCUUUUCAGUCAAAAGAUUUAUUUUGUAUCACUGUUAAAAGCUGAAUAUUGUUAACCACGACAUUACACUGUAUUUAUACGUUCUCAAACUAUACCCACCCCACCAACUUCUGGUUGACUGUUGACUAUAUUAAUCCAGAUGUAAACAACCAGAUUUUUCCCCCUAACUUGUACAAACUUACUUGUGUCACCUACUAUGGGGGGGAAGAAAUGUACAGAUUAAAAUUAUUCAGUGUUAUGUACUGUAAGUUCAUAUUUUUGUAGAAUGCACCUCAAUCUGCUUUACAAAACUUGGAGACUGUUUCAACAUUGCACUGUAGAGAUGUAAAGUGAUGUUUGCAAUGUAAAAGAAAGCCGCGUAGAAGAGCAUUUCGUGACACGAUGUUCUAACCGAGUGCGUGGUAUUUUGGGAUGUCUCCGAUAAUUGCUCUUGUAUUCUUUCUAAUGGGAUUUAGUGACUAGUUUAAUCUGAAGGAAAAUGUUAUAACACCAUUUGGUUCACAUGUGAAGUGCCCUCCAUAGCCAAAUGUUGAGUUUUUUUUUUCUUUUUGGUUGGAUUGUUUGCAGAUACUUAAAUU
rnacentral:lncRNA from 1 species